rnacentral:rRNA from 1 species
UACGGAGGGGGCUAGCGUUGUUCGGAAUUACUGGGCGUAAAGCGCACGUAGGCGGCUUUGUAAGUUAGAGGUGAAAGCCCGGGGCCCAACUCCGGAAUUGCCUUUAAGACUGCAUCGCUAGAAUUGUGGAGAGGUAAGUGGAAUUCCUAGUGUAGAGGUGAAAUUCGUAGAUAUUCGGAAGAACACCAGUGGCGAAGGCGACUUACUGGACACAUAUUGACGCUGAGGUGCGAAAGCGUGGGGAGCAAACAGG